GAUACCUACGGGAGGCAGCAGUGAGGAAUAUUGGUCAAUGGGCGGGAGCCUGAACCAGCCAAGUCGCGUGAGGGAAGACGGUCCUAUGGAUUGUAAACCUCUUUAGGCGGGGAGCAAUGCCGGGCACGUGUGCCCGGAGGGAGAGUACCCGCAGAAUAAGCAUCGGCUAACUCCGUGCCAGCAGCCGCGGUAAUACGGAGGAUGCGAGCGUUAUCCGGAUUUAUUGGGUUUAAAGGGUGCGUAGGCGGUUCGAUAAGUUAGAGGGGAAAUCCCGGGGCUCAACUCCGGCACUGCCUCUGAUACUG
rnacentral:rRNA from 1 species